rnacentral:rRNA from 1 species
AUGAACGCUUGGCCGGCGUGCUUAAACACAUGCAAGUCGAACGAGGCGGAGGGGGCAAACUCCUCCAAGUCGAGUGGCCGGACGGGUGGAGUAAACACGUGGGUAAACCUGGCCCGGAAGUGGGGAAUACCCUCGGGGAAAACUCGAGCUAAUACCGCAUGACAUCUUUGGGGACGAGCAGUCCCUGACGAUCAAAGCGGGGGGUCGCAAGAUCUCGCGCUACCGGAUGGGCCCCGCGCCCGAUUAGCUAGUUGGGGGGGUAAUGGCUCACCAAGGCCUUCGAUCGGUAAACCGGCCCUGAGGAGGGCGAUCGGUUCCACACCGGAACUGAGACACGGUCCGGACUUCCUACGGGAGGGCAGCAGUUGGGGAAUCUUGCGCAAUGGGCGAAAAGCCUGACGCAGCAACGCCGCGUGGAGGAUGAAGGCCUUUGGGUUGUAAACUCCCUGUUCGGCUGGGAAAGGAAAUCAUACGGUGCCUCAUACCACCGUGUGUUUGACUGUACCAGCAAAGGAAGCCCCGGCUAACUCUGUGCCAGCAGCCGCGGUAAACAGAGGGGGGGCCAGCGGUUAUUUCGGAAUUAUUGGGCGUAAAGGGCGCGUAGGGCGGCCAUGCGUGUCUUCCGUGAAAUCCCUCGGCUUAACUGAGGACGUGCGGAAGAAACUGCAAGGCUCGAGUUCCGGGAGAGGAGGGUGGAAUUCCCAGUGUAGUAGCGGUGAAAUGCGUAGAUAUUGGGAGGAACACCCGGUGGCGAAGGCGGCCCUCCUGGACCGGUACUGACGCUGAGGUGGCGCCGAAAAGCGUGGGUAGCAAACGGGAUUAGAUACCCCGGUAGUCCACGCCGUAAACGAUGGGCAACUUGGUGUCGCGGGUAUCGACCCCUGCCGGUGCCGAAGCUAAACGCAUUAAGUGCCCCGCCCUGGGGAGUAACGGGUCGCAAGGCUGAAACUCAAAGGAAUUGACGGGGGCCCGCCACAAGCGGUGGAGCAAUGUGGUUCAAUUCGAAGCGACGCGAAGAAACCCUUACCUGGGUUUGAAGAUCAGGUGAUCGAGGGCGAAAUCUCUCUUUCCCUUCCCGCAAGGGGACACCCUUGGUUAGGUGCUGCAUGGCUGUCGUCAGCUCGUGUCGUGAGAUGUUGGGUUGAAGUCCCGCAACGAGGCGCAACCCCCCUGCUGCUAGUUGCCAUCGGUUCGGCCCGGGCACUCUAGUGGGACUGGCCGGUGAUAAACCGGAGGAAGGUGGGGGAUGACGUCCAAGUCCUCAUGGCCUUUAUGUCCAGGGGGCUACAACACGUGCUACAAAUGGCCGGUACAAAGCGUCACGACAGCGCAAGCUCGAGUCAAUCGCAAAAAGCCGGUCUUAGUUUCGGAUUGGGGUCUGCCAACUCGACCCCAUGAAGCUGGAAUCGCUAGUAAUCGCGGAUCAGCACGCCCGCGGUGAAAUACGUUUUCCCGGGCCUUGUACACACCCGCCCGUCACAUCACGAAAGUCGGCUGUACCAGAAGUCGGUGUUCCAACCCGCAAGGGGAGGAAGCCGCCCUAAGGUAUGGUCGGUAAUUGGGGUG